CAAGACAUAUGUCGAGGUUCGCGUGUGAUGAAAAUAUUAAGCAAAAGUGGAUUUCAGCUUGCAUGCGGUUGCAUUUUCAGGGCCGUUUUGCAUGCUGUUCAUACCCUUUUUUUUCUUCCAUUAUGUGUAUAUAUAUACUGAAUAUAUACUGAAAAUAUACUGAAUGCGAGUACGCGUUGACAAUAAAUCGAAAACUAUAGAGGUGCUACCGUUAAAAAUCGUUAAAAGUCAAACCCAAACACACAGACAACGCGAAGACCACGAAGCAAGUGGAUAGUGGAGUAGGCAAAAGUGAAAGAGAAAAUAGAGAGAACGCGAAACGUAACGCAACAAGGCAAUAAACAGUGAGUAAAGCAACCGCUGAAACGACGUGCGACGCGUCGAAAUAAAAGUGUGUAUUAAAAAACCUCAAUAGCACCCACAUUACGACGAGAAAACUCAAACGACAAAACCAUAGUUGAAUUGAGUGAGAAUAAUAUAUAUAUAUAUAUAGAGAGAGAGAGAGAGAGAGAGAGUAAAUACACCGCUACAAUGUCGGAAGAAGUAGAUCGCAACGAUCCCGAGCUGAAAUACCUUUCGGUGGAACG